rnacentral:rRNA from 1 species
AUUGAACGCUGGCGGCAUGCUUUACACAUGCAAGUCGAACGGUAACAGGCCGCAAGGUGCUGACGAGUGGCGAACGGGUGAGUAAUGCAUCGGAACGUGCCCAGUCGUGGGGGAUAACUACUCGAAAGAGUAGCUAAUACCGCAUACGAUCUAUGGAUGAAAGCGGGGGACCGUAAGGCCUCGCGCGAUUGGAGCGGCCGAUGUCAGAUUAGGUAGUUGGUGGGGUAAAGGCUCACAAGCCAACGAUCUGUAGCUGGUCUGAGAGGACGACCAGCCACACUGGGACUGAGACACGGCCCAGACUCCUACGGGAGGCAGCAGUGGGGAAUUUUGGACAAUGGGCGCAAGCCUGAUCCAGCAAUGCCGCGUGCAGGAAGAAGGCCUUCGGGUUGUAAACUGCUUUUGUACGGAACGAAACGGCUCUGGUUAAUACCCGGGGCUAAUGACGGUACCGUAAGAAUAAGCACCGGCUAACUACGUG